rnacentral:lncRNA from 1 species
UGAGAUAAGGUGGAUCUGAGGACGUGUGUGACUCAGAGUGUAAAUGUCCAGGUCUGGGCAAAUAUUCCAGGCUGUGUGUCAGACUGCAGGCAGAAGCAAUGGGGUGGUCCACACCAAGGACUCCAGAGCCAAAGGAGCACCCAGGUCCUUCCUGGUGGAGCAAAGGGACAGCAGCUCCUUGAGGGAAAUGUUUGUGAAGGAAAAGAAGGUGGAGGUCUGGUCAGCCAUACUGAGAUCCCAUCCUUGCUCUGGCCUGCAUCAAGCCAACCAAAGAUAGAACAGAAGUAAACAACUGCAAUAAAGGAACAUCAGAUCUCCAUAGUUGGAAUAUGGUAAAUGUCCAAGUCCACAUCAGAGGAAUACUACAACACCACAG